UACGGGAGGCAGCAGUGGGGAAUAUUGCACAAUGGGCGAAAGCCUGAUGCAGCUAUGCCGCGUGUAUGAAGAAGGCCUUAGGGUUGUAAAGUACUUUCAUCGGGGAGGAAAAAACAAAACUAAUAAUUUUAUUUCUUGACGUUACCCGAAAAAGAAGCACCGGCUAACUCCGUGCCAGCAGCCGCGGUAAUACGGAGGGUGCUAGCGUUAAUCAGAAUUACUGGGCGUAAAGAGCACGUAGGUGGUUUUUUUAAAGUCAGAUGUGAAAUCCCUGGGCUUAACCUAGGAACUGCAUUUUGAAAACUGAAAUACUAGAGUAUCGUAGAGGGAGGUAGAAUUCUAGGUGUAGCGGUGAAAUGCGUAGAUAUCUGGAGGAAUACCUGUGGCGAAAGCGGCCUCCUAAACGAAUACUGACACUGAGGGUGCGAAAGCGUGGGGAGCAAACAGGGAUUAGAUACC
rnacentral:rRNA from 1 species